GACGAACGCUGGCGGCGUGCUUAACAAAUGCAAGUCGAACGAAGUGGCGAACGGGUGAGUAACGCGUAAUCAACCUGCCCUUCAGAGGGGGACAACAGUUGGAAACGACUGCUAAUACCGCAUACUGAAGGAGGGGAUUGCGUCUGAUUAGCUAGUGGGAGGGGUAACGGCCUACCAAGGCGAUGAUCAGUAGCCGGUCUGAGAGGAUGAACGGCCACAGUGGUACUGAGACACGGCCCAGACUCCUACGGGAGGCAGCAGUGGGGAAUCUUCCGCAAUUGACGAAAGUCUGACGGAGCAACGCCGCGGGAGUGAGGACGGCUUUCCGGUUGUAAAGCUCUGUUAAUCGGGACGCGGUACCGGAAUAGAAAGCCACGGCUAACUACGUGCCAGCAGCCGCGGUAAUUC
rnacentral:rRNA from 1 species